AUGAGUUCUUGCUUCUCUCAAGAGCAAGUGGUGCGGAUGGGACUCUCUCCCGCCUGGUUUCCAAUUUCCAGUCAAAGAAUUGGUGGCGAGCCUGAGU
rnacentral:ncRNA from 1 species